UUGACGGGACCGCACAAGCGGUGGAUGAUGUGGUUUAAUUCGAUGCAACGCGAAAACCUUACCACCUUUGACAUGUACGGAAUCCUUUAGAGAUAGAGGAGUGCUCGAAAGAGAGCCGUAACACAGGUGCUGCAUGGCUGUCGUCAGCUCGUGUCGUGAGAUGUUGGGUUAAGUCCCGCAACGAGCGCAACCCUUGUCAUUAGUUGCUACAUUCAGUUGGGCACUCUAAUGAGACUGCCGGUGACAAACCGGAGGAAGGUGGGGAUGACGUCAAGUCCUCAUGGCCCUUAUAGGUGGGGCUACACACGUCAUACAAUGGAUGGUACAAAGGGUCGCCAACCCGCGAGGGGGAGCCAAUCCCAUAAAGCCAUUCGUAGUCCGGAUCGCAGUCUGCAACUCGACUGCGUGAAGUCGGAAUCGCUAGUAAUCGUGGAUCAGAAUGUCACGGUGAAUACGUUCCCGGGUCUU
rnacentral:rRNA from 1 species